UCGCUACUACCGAUUGAAUGGCUUAGUGAGCUUCACGGACUGGAGCGUUUCGUUGGUUCGCCAAUGUUUCGCACUGGGAAGUGAAUCAAACUUGAUCAUUUAGAGGAAGUAA
rnacentral:rRNA from 1 species